rnacentral:siRNA from 1 species
AUGGACCGCCCAACUUCAGCCCA